rnacentral:lncRNA from 1 species
CAUCCAGGAGCGUGUGAUCGUCAGGGUCCUGCUGGUAAGAAAAGGGCAUGUGGGUAGACAUCUGGAGUGCCUGUCAUGGUCCAAUUAACUGGCUAAAGGGAUUUGUGGGUAUGCAGCUGUUUUCAAUCAAAAGUACGUAAUUCACAUCUUCCCAAACACAGAUUCCUGCUUCUGAGUAAUGAAGGCGACCAAACCACGUGACCCUGCCUGCAAAGAUCCCACCUGGACUCCCGGUUCCUCCAAGGAGCCAUCGUGUGGUUCAAAUCCAUCAGAAAUUCUCCAAAUCUCCACCCUCCUCAGGGUGCAGAGUUGGCUGCUUUUCUGUGUCCCCUGCUGAUCACCGCAACCACUGGGUGCCUUGGCCUGCGAAGCCUCAGCUGUCCUCCGUCUGCAGACGAGCCGAGGAGCAGUUGCCUCUGGGGUGCCACAGUUGCCCAGAAUCCCUGGCAGCCACCUGUUCAAAGAAUCUUGAAGCAAUCAGAUGGUUGAUGCAGAAGAAGGACAAGUGGAUACCUCUGAGCAAUCUGGGGGAAGAGAAUCAUGGUUUCCAUUAAACCCAGCCUGGGGUUUGAAAACUCUGGGCAAGGGAAGGUGAUGAAGAGGCUGCUGGUUUACAGACUGUACAUUGAGAAGCAAGGUCUUAAGAUAUACUGACCUUGAGCUUUCCCAACAAUCCUUGAAAAGAGAGGGUUCUGCGAAGGGAAGCGACCUGUCAGAUAAGGGACCUCUUCAGUUACCCUACAUUGUCAAGUGAGUGAUGUCCUUAGGUAAGUACCCUCCCUAGGGUCACACGAGUAGGUACAUGGUAGAGCCAGGAUUUGAACACCCAUAUCCCCCAUUCCAAAACUCCCAUUAUUCUCAAAUCUGCUAUAACUGCAAC